AACGAACGCUGGCGGCAGGCUUAACACAUGCAAGUCGAGCGCCCCGCAAGGGGAGCGGCAGACGGGUGAGUAACGCGUGGGAAUCUACCCAUCUCUACGGAAUAACGCAUGGAAACGUGUGCUAAUACCGUAUACGUCCUUCGGGAGAAAGAUUUAUCGGAGAUGGAUGAGCCCGCGUUGGAUUAGCUAGUUGGUGGGGUAAAGGCUUACCAAGGCGACGAUCAAUAGCUGGUCUGAGAGGAUGAUCAGCCACACUGGGACUGAGACACGGCCCAGACUCCUACGGGAGGCAGCAGUGGGGAAUAUUGGACAAUGGGCGCAAGCCUGAUCCAGCCAUGCCGCGUGAGUGAUGAAGGCCCUAGGGUUGUAAAGCUCUUUCACCGGUGAAGAUAAUGACGGUAACCGGAGAAGAAGCCCCGGCUAACUUCGUGCCAGCCGCCGCGGUAAAAC
rnacentral:rRNA from 1 species